CCUUCCAAGACCUUGUGAUUCUGUUGGGCUUUGUUCCACUUCUGCUGUGGCAGCCCAAAGUAGGUAGAUGAAUCUGGCUGAUGACUUGGCAACAAUCACUGUCACAAUGGAAGACUGCUCAUGGACUACUCUAGUUCUAGCAAGAGCUAGGACACAGUCUCCGGACAAGAGGGUUUGGACGGUGAGCGUUCAUCUCAGAAAUCUAGAAAAGAAUGAUGGUUUUCCAGAGCUGGACCAGGCCCAGGGAGGGUCAGAUAAUGAGUCACAGUUCCUUUGCACAGCUCUGUAACUACAAUGAACAGUCAUGCUUUGCACAUUUGGAAGUGUCCAGAAGAGAGGAUUUUUGAACAUUCCACCUCGGAGACAAGAUAAAUGUUUGAGACGGUGGGCAUGCAGUGACCCUGCUUUGAUCACUGCAAAAUGCAUCCAUGCACGGAAACUACAUUAUAUUACAUAUAUUUGCCCAAUUGGUGUCAAAUAGAAAAUAAAAAUAAAUAUGAAA